CAGGAAAAGACAUUUUAAAGAACUGGAGUAAAAAAGGAAAGUUCAGGGCAAUUCACAAAGUGAGCAGAAGGAGACGGAGGCAGAGAUGGAGAUGUGGAGAGUGAGCAAGGGGCCUGGUGUUUCGAAAUUUUGGACACACGGUUCCAUCUGAGUCCAAGGACGUUCACAUUUCUGUGCCAAAACAUGUCAGGGUUGGAAAGGAGUGAGUGAAAACUCAGAAACACUCUACUGAGGAGAGUCCCAGUCCACAAAUUCCAGUGCUAACCAAAGGAACAACCUCUGAAGAACUAAGCCUUUUCCACAGAACUGCAGACCACCGGCCAUCCAUUCCCAGAAUCCUCUGCACCACUAAUAGGCAUUGAAGAGUUGCUGAUCGAGCUCCGCAGGAGAUCAGUUCAUCCUGCCAGCAACGCUCUUAGCCCUGUCAC
ensembl:lncRNA